ACGACUGUAGCUUAGUGGCAAAGCACAACAAUACUUCAUAUUGGUAUUUGAACGCCUGUUCGAUUCAGGCCAGUCGUA